rnacentral:misc_RNA from 1 species
CGCGUCGUCGCAACAGCGGCCUGCGGGAGAGCUUUUCCUCCAACAACGAGAGAAACUAGCAUAGUCGGCACUCUGUCGCGAGAGUCCCGCUCCGCCGCAUCUAAUUUGGUAGCGUGACGGUUGAAAGGGAAGAAAGUCGACGCGACCGACGUCGUCUUUAUUUGAUAGUUUUUGUUGUUGUUUUUGAUUAUUUUUUUUUCUCUCCUUCACACACUUUGGUGAAAUCGCUGCUUCGUUAUUACACUAGCGUUAAUUAACGCGAUACGAUAACACGAUAAGUUUUCUCAUAUAAUUUACACGCGCGUACAUAUCAUUUCUCGUUAAUAUAUACCGGCGCACGUUACGUGUUUGUUCAAUAGUCCUUUGCUUGAUUGUUAUUGUAGCAGUUUUACGCGUAGAUACACGUUUGGACAAUCUUCGAUAUAUAUAUAUACAUAUAUAUAUAUUAUUUUUUUUUUUUAUUUCUUCUUCUUCUUCACUUCGUCUUUAAAAUUCUCUACGUAUACAUACAUACUGUUGUUGCUGUGAGGAGGUUCGCAACAAGAACGAAAGGAGGGCGUCCCUUUGAGAGACGAGCUCCGUUACUCUCGCCGUGGUUCUCAACGCUGUCGUUAUACUCGUGUGAAGAGUCUCGCCUAGUUUCAGUAUGGAACGUCUUUGGGUUUCGGUGUUGCUGGUUUUUUGCACAACGUGGGGAUGGCACGAAGUUUUUGCGGAGGAUUCGGCUGCUGAUACGCAAGAGGAAUUUGCCCGGCACUACAAUUCUCGAUACUCAGUUUUCGACGAACCGUACAACGUCGAAUUCAAGUAUCACAACUACGAGCAGAUGAGCCGAUUUCUGAGGGCCACUUCUCUACGGUAUCAAAAUCUGACCGCUCUCUAUUCCAUAGGGAAAUCAGUGAAAGGCAGAGAUCUUUGGGUGAUCGUAGUUUCGUCUUCUCCGUACGAGCACGUAAUUGGUAACCCGGAUGUCAAAUACGUCGCCAAUAUUCACGGAAAUGAGGCCGUUGGUCGAGAACUAAUGCUGCAUCUUGUCCACCUCCUGGUAACCAAAUACGGAACCGAUCCCUACAUCACCUGGCUUUUGGACAAGACGCGAAUUCACAUAUUGCCCUCCAUGAACCCUGACGGUUUCGAGGUGUCGAAGGAAGGAACGUGCGAAGGUGGUCAAGGAAGGUACAACGCUCGUGGAUUUGAUCUGAACCGAAACUUCCCAGAUUACUUUAAACAGAACAAUAAGUGGAGUCAGCCAGAAACUGAAGCCGUUAAGGAUUGGGUCUCAAAGAUACAGUUCGUACUUUCUGGAAGUCUUCAUGGCGGUGCUUUGGUCGCCAGUUAUCCCUUUGACAACACCCCAAACUCGAGAAUUUGUCGUUCGGCCCCGUUAUGCGCAGUGUUCCAGAGCUACAGUUCGACGCCUAGCAUAUCCCCGGACGACGACGUCUUCCGUCACUUAUCCCUGACGUAUUCCCGAAGUCACGGUUCGAUGCAUCGUGGCGCUGCCUGUUCGCCGAACCAGCCGGGAUUUAAAAACGGCAUUACGAACGGUGCCGAGUGGUAUCCGCUAACCGGCGGUAUGCAGGACUUCAACUACGUAUGGAACGGGUGCAUGGAGAUCACCCUCGAGUUGUCAUGCUGCAAGUAUCCACCGGCCGAGGAUCUCCCCCGUUACUGGGCCGAGAAUCGCGAAGCGCUCAUCAAGUUUCUAGCCGAAGUCCAUCGCGGUGUUCAAGGUUUCGUUAUCGACGAGAAUGGCAAUCCCGUGGAACGAGCCUCUCUCAAAGUGAAAUCGCGGGAUGUCGGUUUUGUCACAACUAAAUACGGGGAAUUCUGGAGAGUUCUUCUUCCGGGAAUCUACAAACUCGAGGUCUACGCCGACGGUUACCUGCCUCGAGAGGUUGAGUUCAUGGUAAUCGAGCAACAUCCCACACUCCUCAAUGUCACUCUUCGCGCUACCAAGAGAUGGGAGUAUAAUAGUCAGCCCGAUCGAGCGAAUCAGGAAGUACCUCGGGACGUGCCCGUCGUAUCUCCUUCGAUCUUCGCGGACUUCGUAAACGCUACUACUUCUUACACUGUUUCGUCAAAUCCAACUGCACAACCUAUCCGAGAUGUUAAGGAAAACAUUCCGAAACAGGGUGACGAAACCGUUCCCGAAGCAGCUGCCGUGCCCACCGCAACGGCCGCCGACUUCGUAUUUCCCUCCUCCUAAUAUAACACUAAUCGUCUUGAUAACAAUGACCCCCUAACUUCGGCUAAUAUCACAAAUUAUAGGCAAGACCACAUUGGCGGUAACCAAGGGACGGUGGGUGUAUACGCAGGACGACCAUCUGAAACUCACCGGGAGCAGAGACCAUCGCCUUAUUACACUCAGGGCCAUUACAGGCCGAAUUCAGGGGCAAACACGGCAG